rnacentral:misc_RNA from 1 species
UCUUCUAUUGCAGGGAAGGUGCCC